rnacentral:snRNA from 1 species
GUGCUCGCUUCAGCAGCACAUACACUAAAAUUGGAACGAUACAGAGAAGAUUAGCAUAGCCCCUGCACAAAGAUGACACGCAAAUUCGUGAAGCAUUCCAUAUUUUU